CAUCGUUUUUUUUUUUAACUUUUAGGACGACACAAAAGGUUAAUAAUGGAAACUGUUCUAAAGUAGUACUCUCAUUAGGCUACUAAAUAUGCAGAUUUGGUUGAUUAGUGGUUGAAUAUCAAAACAAUUUAAGAGGCCAACCUAACAGAGCAAUAUUACCUACACUGGAAGCUAGGGACUUGCAAGACUCCACUUAGUUUGCAGAACUCGAUGAAGAGGAAUCCACCAUUAUUCAUGAUUAUGGGCCAUUUGGCGUCCAAGUGGAGCAGCUCUCAUCCAAAUCCUCGUACAAGAUGCCAUCACGUUCUUCAUUUUCUACUUAAAAAGUUUUUGGGUAAUGAUAUGCCAUGUUCUAAUUGAAAUAAUGCUGCUUUCGGCCGAGCACUUCGUUCCAAAUGA
rnacentral:lncRNA from 1 species